rnacentral:rRNA from 1 species
UCCCGGUUGAUCCUGCCAGGGGUCACUGCUAUCGGGGUUCGAUUAAGCCAUGCGAGUCGAGAGGGUUCGGCCCUCGGCGUACUACUCAGUAACACGUGGAUAACCUGCCCUAAGGAAGGGGAUAACCUCGGGAAACUGAGGAUAAUACCCUAUAGGUUACAGACGCUGGAAUGCCCUGUAACCGAAAGCUCCGGCGCCUUAGGAUGGAUCUGCGGCCGAUUAGGUUGUUGUUGGGGUAACGGCCCAACAAGCCGAUAAUCGGUACGGGUUGUGGGAGCAAGAGCCCGGAGUUGGAUUCUGAGACACGAAUCCAGGCCCUACGGGGCGCAGCAGACGCGAAAACUUUACAAUGCGGGAAACCGUGAUAAGGGAACCUCGAGUGCCUGUAUAUGCAGGCUGUCCAGGUGUCUAAAAAACACCUGAAGAAAGGGCCGGGCAAGACCGGUCCCAGCCGCCGCGGUAAUACCGGCGGCUCGAGUGGUGGCCACUUUUAUUGGGCUAAAGCGUUCGUAGCUGGGUUGUUAAGUCUCUUGGGAAGUCUGACGGCUCAACCGUCAGGCGUCCAAGGGAUACUGGCAAUCUUGGAACCGGGAGAGGUGAGGGGUACUUCGGGGGGUAGGAGUGAAAUCCUGUAAUCCUCGAGGGACCACCUGUGGCGAAGGCGCCUCACCAGAACGGCUUCGACAGUGAGGGACGAAAGCUGGGGGAGCAAACCGGAUUAGAUACCCGGGUAGUCCCAGCCCUAAACGAUGCGCGUUAGGUGUAUCGGUGACCACGAGUCACCGAGGUGCCGAAGGGAAACCGUGAUACGUGCCGCCUGGGAAGUACGGUCGCAAGGCUGAAACUUAAAGGAAUUGGCGGGA